rnacentral:rRNA from 1 species
GGUUAAGCGACUAAGCGUACACGGUGGAUGCCCUGGCAGUCAGAGGCGAUGAAGGACGUGCUAAUCUGCGAUAAGCGUCGGUAAGGUGAUAUGAACCGUUAUAACCGGCGAUUUCCGAAUGGGGAAACCCAGUGUGAUUCGUCACACUAUCAUUAACUGAAUCCAUAGGUUAAUGAGGCGAACCGGGGGAACUGAAACAUCUAAGUACCCCGAGGAAAAGAAAUCAACCGAGAUUCCCCCAGUAGCGGCGAGCGAACGGGGAGGAGCCCAGAGCCUGAAUCAGUGUGUGUGUUAGUGGAAGCGUCUGGAAAGGCGCGCGAUACAGGGUGACAGCCCCGUACACAAAAAUGCACAUACUGUGAGCUCGAUGAGUAGGGCGGGACACGUGGUAUCCUGUCUGAAUAUGGGGGGACCAUCCUCCAAGGCUAAAUACUCCUGACUGACCGAUAGUGAACCAGUACCGUGAGGGAAAGGCGAAAAGAACCCCGGCGAGGGGAGUGAAAAAGAACCUGAAACCGUGUACGUACAAGCAGUGGGAGCCUCUUAAUGGGGUGACUGCGUACCUUUUGUAUAAUGGGUCAGCGACUUAUAUUCUGUAGCAAGGUUAACCGAAUAGGGGAGCCGAAGGGAAACCGAGUCUUAACUGGGCGUUAAGUUGCAGGGUAUAGACCCGAAACCCGGUGAUCUAGCCAUGGGCAGGUUGAAGGUUGGGUAACACUAACUGGAGGACCGAACCGACUAAUGUUGAAAAAUUAGCGGAUGACUUGUGGCUGGGGGUGAAAGGCCAAUCAAACCGGGAGAUAGCUGGUUCUCCCCGAAAGCUAUUUAGGUAGCGCCUCGUGAAUUCAUCUCCGGGGGUAGAGCACUGUUUCGGCAAGGGGGUCAUCCCGACUUACCAACCCGAUGCAAACUGCGAAUACCGGAGAAUGUUAUCACGGGAGACACACGGCGGGUGCUAACGUCCGUCGUGAAGAGGGAAACAACCCAGACCGCCAGCUAAGGUCCCAAAGUCAUGGUUAAGUGGGAAACGAUGUGGGAAGGCCCAGACAGCCAGGAUGUUGGCUUAGAAGCAGCCAUCAUUUAAAGAAAGCGUAAUAGCUCACUGGUCGAGUCGGCCUGCGCGGAAGAUGUAACGGGGCUAAACCAUGCACCGAAGCUGCGGCAGCGACACUAUGUGUUGUUGGGUAGGGGAGCGUUCUGUAAGCCUGUGAAGGUGUACUGUGAGGUAUGCUGGAGGUAUCAGAAGUGCGAAUGCUGACAUAAGUAACGAUAAAGCGGGUGAAAAGCCCGCUCGCCGGAAGACCAAGGGUUCCUGUCCAACGUUAAUCGGGGCAGGGUGAGUCGACCCCUAAGGCGAGGCCGAAAGGCGUAGUCGAUGGGAAACAGGUUAAUAUUCCUGUACUUGGUGUUACUGCGAAGGGGGGACGGAGAAGGCUAUGUUGGCCGGGCGACGGUUGUCCCGGUUUAAGCGUGUAGGCUGGUUUUCCAGGCAAAUCCGGAAAACUAAGGCUGAGGCGUGAUGACGAGGCACUACGGUGCUGAAGCAACAAAUGCCCUGCUUCCAGGAAAAGCCUCUAAGCAUCAGGUAACAUCAAAUCGUACCCCAAACCGACACAGGUGGUCAGGUAGAGAAUACCAAGGCGCUUGAGAGAACUCGGGUGAAGGAACUAGGCAAAAUGGUGCCGUAACUUCGGGAGAAGGCACGCUGAUAUGUAGGUGAAGUCCCUCGCGGAUGGAGCUGAAAUCAGUCGAAGAUACCAGCUGGCUGCAACUGUUUAUUAAAAACACAGCACUGUGCAAACACGAAAGUGGACGUAUACGGUGUGACGCCUGCCCGGUGCCGGAAGGUUAAUUGAUGGGGUUAGCGGUAACGCGAAGCUCUUGAUCGAAGCCCCGGUAAACGGCGGCCGUAACUAUAACGGUCCUAAGGUAGCGAAAUUCCUUGUCGGGUAAGUUCCGACCUGCACGAAUGGCGUAAUGAUGGCCAGGCUGUCUCCACCCGAGACUCAGUGAAAUUGAACUCGCUGUGAAGAUGCAGUGUACCCGCGGCAAGACGGAAAGACCCCGUGAACCUUUACUAUAGCUUGACACUGAACAUUGAGCCUUGAUGUGUAGGAUAGGUGGGAGGCUUUGAAGUGUGGACGCCAGUCUGCAUGGAGCCGGCCUUGAAAUACCACCCUUUAAUGUUUGAUGUUCUAACGUUGGCCCCUGAUCGGGGUUGCGGACAGUGUCUGGUGGGUAGUUUGACUGGGGCGGUCUCCUCCUAAAGAGUAACGGAGGAGCACGAAGGUUGGCUAAUCCUGGUCGGACAUCAGGAGGUUAGUGCAAUGGCAUAAGCCAGCUUGACUGCGAGCGUGACGGCGCGAGCAGGUGCGAAAGCAGGUCAUAGUGAUCCGGUGGUUCUGAAUGGAAGGGCCAUCGCUCAACGGAUAAAAGGUACUCCGGGGAUAACAGGCUGAUACCGCCCAAGAGUUCAUAUCGACGGCGGUGUUUGGCACCUCGAUGUCGGCUCAUCACAUCCUGGGGCUGAAGUAGGUCCCAAGGGUAUGGCUGUUCGCCAUUUAAAGUGGUACGCGAGCUGGGUUUAGAACGUCGUGAGACAGUUCGGUCCCUAUCUGCCGUGGGCGCUGGAGAACUGAGGGGGGCUGCUCCUAGUACGAGAGGACCGGAGUGGACGCAUCACUGGUGUUCGGGUUGUCAUGCCAAUGGCACUGCCCGGUAGCUAAAUGCGGAAGAGAUAAGUGCUGAAAGCAUCUAAGCACGAAACUUGCCCCGAGAUGAGUUCUCCCUGACUCCUUGAGAGUCCUGAAGGAACGUUGAAGACGACGACGUUGAUAGGCCGGGUGUGUAAGCGCAGCGAUGCGUUGAGCUAACCGGUACUAAUGAACCGUGAGGCUUAACCUU